rnacentral:rRNA from 1 species
AAACGUUUGACACCAGUUAUGCGGGUGGAAAAUCAGUCUUUUGCAAUGGGGAGUUGUGGGCGUUCAGACCGCAAGGCUGGCGUUUGCUUCAUCUUUGUUGUAAGUGAUGCACUUUUUCAUCUGCAGGUCAACAUCAGUUUGCUUUGCUGGACAAAACCCCAAGGGAAGGUGGCAGCUUAGGCUGUGUUAUAGCCCUGGGGCGAUACAGUGGAGUGGACUGAGGUUUCGCAGUGUGUGCUUUCGGGCAAGGCUGAUUGGGUGCUAUGGGAUCGUUCGGCGUACAAUGCAUGCAUUUUGCGUCGUGUCUUUUUCAUACUCGCUCAACUCGGCUCUUCCACGCUUAGGAUGCUGGCGUAAUGGU